AAAGCUAUACUAAAAGCAUACACGGAGAAAACAGAAAAUACUAGUUUGCGUAGUUUUUAUUGCAUUCUCAAUAUAUUCAGUUUUUAUGCAUUGCACAGCAUUUUACUUUAUACUUUCUAGUGCAUAUCUGAAAUAUAUUUUUCACCGUGCAUUUUGGGCUGCGUUGUUUACUCUCGGGACUUAUCAAAAUUUUGCUCUGUUUCAGUUAGCUGAUUUCUUUCACAAAAAGCAAUAAUUAGGUUGUGUACACACAGUGGCUUCUGGAGAAAACCUGAUCGGUUGAAGAUUGAUGAAUUCCAGAAAAGAAUCAGUACGGAUAUCAGGAGUGACCUCAAUGGAAACUUAAAAAAUUAGACUUCCUGUUGCCUUCCACCACAUGACCGAUCCAUAACUUUUCCCGGAGCUGAGCUUGUCAGACAACCAGAGAUGGCAAACGGAUCUACGCCAUAAGUUCGGCGGCAGUUUUUCCAGCAUGAUGACCACAGUUCCGGCAGUAACAUAAUAAGAACGAGUCCGCAACGGAAGACGGUUUUUCGACACAAAAACGAGCAAAACCUAGGAAGUGAAGGAUUCAUAUUGCCAACUAUGCUGCAUUAUUGUUUAGCACAUUCAGUGCGGAUACUUAUAUUUAUGAUAAAAAGAACAAAGCCGAUGAACUUAUUGCGAGAGGUUUAAUAAACAUGAUGGAAAAUUCGUUGAACUUGAUUUGGUUAUUUUUUUUUUUGUUUUGUUUUUACUGAUUUUCAAAAUAAAAUGAAAAUGGCGGCAGUAUAGAAAACGUAAUCGAAUAUGCAUUUCGGUGAAUAAAUCCCUUUUAUCCUUCAGUUAGUAUAAAUCGCAGAUAUGCAGUUCAUGGGGUGAAUAGACCAAAUAUGCUUUUAGUAUAGCUUUUAGGCUUUUUAGUAUAUAUUUUUUUAACCGUGUAUUUGGUCUAUUCACCCCAUGAACUGCAUAUCUGCGAUUUAUACUAACUGAAGGAUAAAAGGGAUUUAUUCACCGAAAUGCAUAUUCGAUUACGUUUUCUAUACUGCCGCCAUUUUCAUUUUAUUUUGAAAAUCAGUAAAAACAAAACAAAAAAAAAAAUAACCAAAUCAAGUUCAACGAAUUUUCCAUCAUGUUUAUUAAACCUCUCGCAAUAAGUUCAUCGGCUUUGUUCUUUUUAUCAUAAAUAUAAGUAUCCGCACUGAAUGUGCUAAACAAUAAUGCAGCAUAGUU
rnacentral:lncRNA from 1 species